ACUUCACAGGUGAAACGAAUUAAUAAACAAAAGUUUUAUUUAACAAAGUUCUGUUUUUACCUGGUAUAAAUAUGUAUCUAAGCCAAGCACGAGCCGAUGAGAAGAACUUCUGAUACCAGCUACCGAACAAAUACACCUACUUACGUAUGUGCAUACAGUGCAGGGGAAGUUCAGUCUGGGAUUUAGAUCAAAUCGUCGAUCUUCAAGGAAGUUGGAAUUAAAUUCCGGAAAGUCACAAGUCUCGUACGUUUUCCUCUUAUCUACGCUAGAUCUGUCUACCACUGAAAAGUAUAACACAAGGACCCACAGUGAUGUCCUUGCAGCUACCGAACACCAAGUAAACCAAGCAUCCCAUGAAACUGCUGUAGAGGCCGUACUGAAGUUUUCAAAAGUUUAUCUAACGAGAACCGCCUUUCCGGCUACCAUUCCAUCGAACUGUUCGUUUUUAUCAAUAUUUUUUUCCGAUCGUCGAGAAACAACAACACGCGAUUACAUUCGCAAGGUAAACUAAACGUCACGCUACAGUCUUCCUU
rnacentral:misc_RNA from 1 species